GACGAACGCUGGCGGCGUGCCUAAUACAUGCAAGUUGAGCGCUGAAGGUUGGUACUUGUACCAACUGGAUGAGCAGCGAACGGGUGAGUAACGCGUGGGGAAUCUGCCUUUGAGCGGGGGACAACAUUUGGAAACGAAUGCUAAUACCGCAUAAAAACUUUAAACACAAGUUUUAAGUUUGAAAGAUGCAAUUGCAUCACUCAAAGAUGAUCCCGCGUUGUAUUAGCUAGUUGGUGAGGUAAAGGCUCACCAAGGCGAUGAUACAUAGCCGACCUGAGAGGGUGGUCGGCCACAUUGGGACUGAGGCACGGCCCAAACUCCUACGGGAGGCAGCAGUAGGGAAACUUCGGCAAUGGACGAAAGUCUGACCGAGCAACGCCGCGGGAGUGAAGAAGGUUUUCGGAUCGUAAAACUCUGUUGGUAGAGAAGGACGUUGGUGAGAGUGGAAAGCUCAUCAAGUGACGGUAACUACUCAGAAAGGGACGGCUAACUACGUG
rnacentral:rRNA from 1 species